rnacentral:rRNA from 1 species
UUCUGGCAGGGUGACUCUGCCCUCUUGAUGAGUGCGCAGCUUUGCCCUACCAUCCUUCUGUUAACCCUUUAACCAUAAAAAAGUCUUUUGGGGGCUCAGAUAUUUUACCUUGAGAAAAUUAGAGUGUUUCAGGCAGGCUAGCGCCGGAAUACAUUAGCAUGGAAUAAUAGAAUAGGACUUUUACCUCUUCUGUUGGUCUGAGGGGUUCAAGUAAUGAUUAAUAGGGAUAGUUGGGGGCAUUAGUACUUUACUGUCAGAGGUGAAAUUCUCGGAUUUGUAAAAGACUAACUUAUGCGAAAGUUUUGCAAGGAUGUUUUCAUUUAAUCAAGAACGAAAAGUUAGGGGGAUCAAAUACGAUCAGGAUCCGUAGUAGUCUUUAACAAUAAACUAUGCGGAUCCGGGACGGGGGCGAAGAGUUAUCCCGCUUUCGGACCGUAUGAGAAAAUCAAAGGCUUUUGGGUCUGGGGGGAGGAUGGGCCGCAAGGCUGAAAAUUUAAGGAAUUUGACGAAGGGCCACAACCGGCGUGGGCUUGGGGCCCAAUUUGACUCACACGGGGAAACUUACCAGGCCAGACAUA